AAGCCUCAAGUUAUGUGUGACAACCCCCUG
rnacentral:rRNA from 1 species